UCCCUGGAGGACUAGUGGUUAGGCCACAGUACUUAUACAGCUGUGGCCUGGGUACGAUUCCCGGCCAGGGAA